rnacentral:rRNA from 1 species
UGGAAAGGAUGGCCAUAGUGGGUGACAGCCCCGUACGCGUAAUGCAACCAAUCGUCCUCGAGUAAGGCGGGACACGUGAAAUCCUGUCUGAACGUGGGGGGACCACCCUCCAAGCCUAAGUACUCGUGCAUGACCGAUAGCGAACCAGUACCGUGAGGGAAAGGUGAAAAGCACCCCGACAAGGGGAGUGAAAGAGUACCUGAAACCGGAUGCCUACAAACAGUCGGAGCGCGCAAGCGUGACGGCGUACCUUUUGUAUAAUGGGUCAACGACUUAAUGUGGCGAGCAAGCUUAAACCGAUAGGUGUAGGCGCAGCGAAAGCGAGUCUGAACAGGGCGUUCAGUUCGUCGCAUUAGACCCGAAACCGAGUGAUCUAGCCAUGAGCAGGCUGAAGGUUGGGUAACACCAACUGAAGGGCCGAACCCGUAUCUGUUGCAAUAGAUUGGGAUGACUUGUGGCUAGGGGUGAAAGGCCAAUCAAACUCGGAAAUAGCUGGUUCUCUGCGAAAUAUUUUUAUGUAGAGCGUCAGCCGAAUACUCCCGGGGGUAGAGCACUGGAUGGGUAA